CAGUAGCCACGGGAAUACGAAGGGGGCUAGCGUUGCUCGGAAUUACUGGGCGUAAAGGGAGCGUAGGCGGACAUUUAAGUCAGGGGUGAAAUCCCAGAGCUCAACUCUGGAACUGCCUUUGAUACUGGGUGUCUUGAGUGUGAUAGAGGUAUGUGGAACUCCGAGUGUAGAGGUGAAAUUCGUAGAUAUUCGGAAGAACACCAGUGGCGAAGGCGACAUACUGGAUCAUUACUGACGCUGAGGCUCGAAAGCGUGGGGAGCAAACAGGAUUAGAUACCCCAGUAGUCCCUGUCUCUUAUAC
rnacentral:rRNA from 1 species